AGCCCGUUCGUCUAGCGGCAAGGAUAGGGGACUCUGGAUCCUCUGACGGAGGUUCGAAUCCUCCAUGGGCUA
rnacentral:tRNA from 1 species